AGACAGACAGGUUUCCUCUGGUUUCGCUCCUCCUAGGGGCGAGGUGUGCAAGGGUUGCAAACAGAAGCCUCCUCCGCAGGGCACGCAGCCUGAGGCCUGCAUGAGCUGUCUUAAGAGCCCGCGGGGGCAGCU